rnacentral:rRNA from 1 species
AUUGAACGCUGGCGGCAUGCCUAACACAUGCAAGUCGAACGGUAACAGGCCCUUCGGGGUGCUGACGAGUGGCGGAUGGGUGAGUAAUACUUAGGAAUCUACCCUGUAGGUGGGGACGAACCCGGGAAACUCGGGCUAAUACCGCAUACGCUCUACGGAGGAAAGCGGGGACCGCAAGGCCUCGCGCUAUUGGAUGAGCCUAAGCCCGAUUAGCUAGUUGGUGGGGUAAUAGCCUACCAAGGCAAUGAUCGGUAGCUGGUCUGAGAGGACGACCAGCCACACUGGGACUGAGACACGGCCCAGACUCCUACGGGAGGCAGCAGUGGGGAAUAUUGGACAAUGGGCGAAAGCCUGAUCCAGCGAUGCCGCGUGUGUGAAGAAGGCCUGCGGGUUGUAAGCACUUUCAGUAGGGAAGAAAUGCUU